rnacentral:lncRNA from 1 species
UAGCAGGUAGAGACACCAGGAGGAGCAGCUGGGGCCACCCAGCCUAACACUUCUGCUUCCCUGGCUGGUUUGUGUUACGGCCUGUAUUAUCACUGCGGGGGGCUCAUCCCAAGUCUGUAGACAGUAAUAAAUCCCAACAUCUUCAGGCUGCAGGCUGCUGAUGGUGAGAGAAAAAUCUGUCCCAGACCCACUGUCGCUUGAGGGGACCCCAGGUUGUAAACUGAUGUAUCAUACAUCAAGAGUUUAGGAGCUUUUCCUGGUUCCUGCUGAUACCAGUGUAACCACUGCUCAACAUCCUCACUGGCCCGACAACUGAGGGUGACUGUGUCUCCUAUAGAUGCAGGUAAGGAUGGAGGCUGUGUCAACUGGAUGUCACAUCUGGCACCUGGGACCCAGAGCAGCAAGAGGCCCAGAAACGGAGCGGAGACCCUCAUGUCCACGCUGUGUCCUGACUGGGACUGACUCCUGCACAGGAUGACAGCUGCAGCCUAUUAAGA